rnacentral:rRNA from 1 species
UACGUAGGGUGCGAGCGUUGUCCGGAAUUAUUGGGCGUAAAGGGCUCGUAGGCGGUCUGUCGCGUCGGGAGUGAAAACUCAGGGCUUAACCCUGAGCCUGCUUCCGAUACGGGCAGACUAGAGGUAUGCAGGGGAGAAUGGAAUUCCUGGUGUAGCGGUGAAAUGCGCAGAUAUCAGGAAGAACACCCGUGGCGAAGGCGGUUCUCUGGGACGGUACUGACGCUGAGACGCGAAAGCGUGGGGAGCGAACAGG